rnacentral:rRNA from 1 species
UACGAAGGGGGCUAGCGUUGUUCGGAAUCACUGGGCGUAAAGCGUACGUAGGCGGAUUGCUAAGUCAGGGGUGAAAUCCCGAGGCUCAACCUCGGAACUGCCUUUGAUACUGGCUGUCUUGAGUCCGGGAGAGGUGAGUGGAACUCCUAGUGUAGAGGUGAAAUUCGUAGAUAUUAGGAAGAACACCUAUGGCGAAGGCAGCUCUCUGGGACGGUACUGACGCUGAGACGCGAAAGCGUGGGGAGCGAACAGG